GGCGCGGGCUUCACUCCAACCCAUGUGACGUUACCAAACUGUUGCCUCGGCGGGAUCUUCUGCCCCGGGUGCGUCGCAGCCCCGGACCAAGGCGCCCGCCGGAGGAAUCAACCAAAACUCUUAUUGUAUACCCCCUCGCGGGUUUUUUUAUAAUCUGAGCCUUCUCGGCGCCUCUCGUAGGCGUUUCGAAAAUGAAUCAAAACUUUCAACAACGGAUCUCUUGGUUCUGGCAUCGAUGAAGAACGCAGCGAAAUGCGAUAAGUAAUGUGAAUUGCAGAAUUCAGUGAAUCAUCGAAUCUUUGAACGCACAUUGCGCCCGCCAGUAUUCUGGCGGGCAUGCCUGUCCGAGCGUCAUUUCAACCCUCGAACCCCUCCGGGGGGUCGGCGUUGGGGAUCGGCCUUCCUUCACGGGGGCCGUCUCCGAAAUACAGUGGCGGUCUCGCCGCAGCCUCUCCUGGGCAGUAGUUUGCACACUCGCAUCGGGAGCGCGGCGCGUCCACAGCCGUUAAACACCCAACUUCUGAAAUGUUGACCUCGGAUCAGGUAGGAAUACCCGCUGAACUUAAGCAUAUCAAAAGCCGGAGGAAA
rnacentral:rRNA from 1 species